CGCGUAGGCGGCUUGUCAAGCGUCUUGUGAAAGCCCUCGGCUCAACCGAGGAAUUGCAGGGCGAACUGACAGGCUUGAGGCAGGUAGGGGCGAGUGGAACUCUUGGUGGAGCGGUGGAAUGCGUAGAUAUCAAGAGGAACGCCGGUGGCGAAGGCGACUCGCUGGGCCUGUCCUGACGCUGAGGCGCGAAAGCCAGGGGAGCAAACAGGAUUAGAUACCCUGGUAGUCC
rnacentral:rRNA from 1 species